rnacentral:misc_RNA from 1 species
AUUGUUGAUGAUGAGUACAUAAUUGUUGGAUCGGCGAAUAUCAACCAGAGAUCCAUGGAUGGUGCAAGGGACUCUGAGAUAGCAAUGGGCGCUUAUCAGCCAUAUCAUCUGUCAGCCCGGGAACCUGCACGUGGUCAAGUUCACGGAUUCCGUAUGGCUCUAUGGUAUGAACAUCUUGGUAUGCUUGAUGAAUCUUUCCUUCGUCCAGAAAGUGAAGAAUGUGUUGCAAAGGUAAACAGAAUUGCUGAUAAGUAUUGGGAUCUGUAUUCAAGUGAAUCACUCGAGAGGGACUUGCCCGGUCACCUCCUCCGCUAUCCAGUUGGCAUAUCCAGUGAAGGAGAAGUCACAGAACUUCCAGGAUUCGAGUUCUUCCCCGACACCAAAGCUCGUAUACUCGGGACGAAAUCCGACUACCUCCCUCCUAUCCUCACUACCUAGUCG